UUGUCUCUCCGAAAUACAAACCAAUUACAAUGCCAAGAGCAAAGAAGCAGCGACACGCCCGUGCGGCAUCAGCCAAUGCAAUGCCAUGUGAGAGGUUUUUGGCACCAACAAACAACCUAGCUUCCAAAUCUGCUUUUGUUUUUCAGCAUUCUCUGCACAUGGAUUUCUGAGAAAAAAAUGUUCAGCUUCAGAAGAAAGGCACUACCCUCUUGCCGCAACAACCAUUGUUUUGCUGCCCCCACCAGCAGCAACAACGUGCCAACGUUUGUCAUCAGCUUAGGGAGAUAAACAGAAUGGUGUCAUUGGCUUACAUAAAUACAACCGUCAAGUCCCCGCCGUCUUCAGAAAGUUGACUCCUGUUCUAUUAGAUCAUUCCAAGCCAGAGAAAACCGAUAUGUGCAUGCUUCUCACUCACACGUCUAAUGCCGGCACACAUGUGCUCACAACUCAUUGUUACCAAUGAAUCAUGUACUGGACGGUGGAGACUAUCAACAUUUACAAAAUAUUACUGUCUCGUCAUAUUAAACAUACUGCUCUUGUAUUUAAAGUUUACUUCUGUAUGUUUUAAAAUUAUUUGGAACAACAAUAAUUCAUUUCAAGACAAUAAGUGGCAAUUAGUUCUCUGUUUGACAUAA